rnacentral:rRNA from 1 species
AUGCCAGAUAUCCCACACAAUGGAGUGUGUUUUGGGAUUCCAAUCCGGGUACUCAUCGAGGGGAAGGAUCCUCGUGCGCCGCUGGCGACGCAUAGGGGUUCUUUGGUUGCUGCCCACGUUCGCCCCGUCAAAUCAUGGGCCGACCAAAAAGUUGGUGACCAAAUUGCCUGCCUUGGUUUCACCAACAAUUUGGCGUUGAAUCAUAUGGAGGGAGUGCGGGCAUGGCAAGCUGGGCGUGCCAAAAAAAAUAUCAAGAGUGACCAAACAGACGCCCACGUCCCAGUCAACGCCACUAUUUUGGCUUGA